CAAAACGCUCUCUUACCUCUCACUCUCUCCGCACCACACUCUCGUUCGGUCAUUCCCCUCCACCAAAUCCCUAGCUCUCCUCUAUGAUGCGUGUUGUCGCCUCCCUCCCACCGGCGUCGCCGCCUCCCUCCAGUGACGUGCUUCGCCGCCUUCUCUCCCUCUCGCCCGUGUCGCCUUUCCCUCCCCCCCGUGCUGCGUCUUGCGUGCUCCAAGGCCGAGGAGGAGCGCGGGCACGGCGGCCUUAUCCUACUCGACACCGGCUGUGACAAACGCCGGCGCUCCUCGUUACCCUCUAUCUGCAAACAGGAGCUCCCGUACUGGACGCUACCGUCCCCCACGGGCUAUCUAAGCCGGAGCCCCCCUCCAUCUCGACGGCACCCGAGAUUGAGGCCGCACCGGAAUCCCAAUCGCCUACCACGCUCUACGCUCGACGGCAAGACCCACAAGAUAAGAGUAGGGAUGCGUGUUGCAGAGGGAAGAACGAUGUGAUAUGGACAAUGAUGCAGCUCCUGAAGAAGCGGUUGCGGCGUCUGCACUGAUUAGCUGUAAGACAGUUACUCCAGCACUUACAGUACUGCGUCUCCUCAAUCUAGGUUUUGCAGUACAGUAGGGAUGGACUCUGUAACUGAAAGGAGUAGCACUGAUUGUGUCGGGGCAAGGAGCGGGCGCGGCGAGCAGGAGCGGGCAAGGAGGUGGUGAGCACCUGGAGCUGCAAGCACCGGGCGAGGCGUGAGUUGCUGGGCGAGGCACGAGGUGUUGCCGACGGCGAGGUUCAAAUUCAAACUGAUUUGGGAGUUGGACAAUGGUACCCGUAAAAUGGAGAGAAGUUCAUGAUAUAGUGUGGAAAGCAAAUAUUGCUCACACUAACCUUGCAAAUGAAGUCAGACCAGAACUGGAUGAUUGAUGCAGGCGAACAAAAUUAAGUUUUGAGGUACACAUAUUUGAGCACCAUGCCUUGCCAAGCUUAACACUUUUUUGACUGUAAGCUUUACUUUGUGAUUCAUGUCUUGUACUAUAUGACAGAUGCGAAACAUCAAGGAUAACAAUAUAAACAGUUUGGGUCUAUAUAAGUGUAUGAAAGCAUCAUAUACGUAAUUAGAAAGUCUGGGCCACAAAUCAAAAAGCAUGACAUGUACAUACUGUUCAUACAAGUUUAGUCUGGAAUAGCUCAAUUUUUUUUCUAACAUUAGUCUGAGAUCUGUACUAUUAAAGAGGGGAAUUUCCUCUGAUUUAGUUAUUUUUUUUGGGUAUUACCGACCCAUACCACGAUCUCAAUUUAUUUCUUAACUGAAUUAACGAACAUUUUUUAUACUUAAUAAAAGUCAAAAUGCACAUAAUAAGUGGAGUAAAGAAUAUUUAUGAUCAGGGCUUGUUUUACCUUUUUUCUUCUGUGGUACGUUGCCCGUCGUUUAGCGUCUAUCUUAUCCCUUUGUUCUUGUGAUGGUACAUAAUCGGAGCAUCUUCCUUUUCUUUUUUCUCCUUAUAAGCUGCCCUUCUCCGCGUGUUUAUAAUGUCCCUUUUUUCUAUUGAUGAGGUCUUGUUAUGUUCUCCAUAAUCAUGAAUUGUAUCAGCAGUACCUUAAAACGUAUCUGGCAUGAAAAGUAUGAAAAGUAUUAAUUAUAAAGCGAGAAGAAUGUCUAGCAAAAGGCUGAUUUUCAUGACCGUACCCUCUUCCUUUUUCUUUCGAUAAGCAGCUCGCCUCCGGGCGUUUAUCAGCUCUCUCUUUUUGUCGGUGAAGCUGUUUUUGCGGUCAUUCAUCACAACUCAUGUUGUCUAGUGCUCGGUUGUUGGUCUAGACACUGAACAUUCACGAGCUAGAGCAUUACGCCCGACCUGGUUUCCCACAUCGACAUGGGAAGAUUCUAGAGCUACUGGAACAACAUAAUAGCCAUAAGCUGAUUAAAUAUAUGAAGAUGAACCCCCGUAAGGACUAAUUACUUCACAUCAAAGACGGACGGGUAAUACCAUUUGAACUGUCUCGUACAUUGCUGGCAUAGAAGAGUGUGAGAUUACUGGGAGCCGGCAAGGAAGCACCAUUAUGCAUGAAUGAGUUUGCUGGGUUGUCUGCAUCAUGUAAAAAUAACAAAAUGAAAAAAACCACAAGGCAUCAUUAUGUACAAAGGAGACUGGACCACACCUGCCAGUUUACUGAAUCUGUCCAACAAUAGGAUGUAAUACACAUAGUAUAAGAAUACCUGACAUCGCAUUGUAAGGUCGAUCAACAUUUGUGAUAUCCCCGGGAGCGAGUGUGAGUUCACUGGGAGCCGUCAACGAAGCAUCACUUAACCCAUCUGAUGUGUUGUUGCCCCCCUCGUAGUCUGUAAGGUAUGAUAGAGAAUAUACAAAACCGAUGAUUUUAUACCAGAAGUAUGUUGACGAUAUUUGCACAUAAUUAAACCUGGACCCAUUGAGUAACUAUUGUCAAGUUUGUCAGCUAAGGGUAUAUUCUCUGUGUUGUAUUCAUCAGCAUUUGCUCCAAAGGAAUGGCCUGCAACACAUCAUGUAUACACACUGUGAGCAGGGCAUGAUGUUAGCCAUGUUGACGAUAUUUGCAUAGAAUUAAACCUGCAAAGAUGGAGUAACUAUCGUCAAGAUUGUCAGCCAAGGGUAUACUCUCUGUGUUGUAUUCAUCAACAUUUGGCCCAUCCACAUGGCCUGCAAUACAUCAUGUAUCCAAAAUGUGAGAAGGGCAUGAUAUUAGCCAUGGUACAGCUAAAUCUGAUAGCGGAACAACCUGUAGGCAAACCUGCCGCCUUUGUAUCUUGAGUUGGCUUGCUUUUUGAA